GACAUUUAAUAAUGACUUUAAUUUUAUAAAAUCUUUUUACAACUUCAUAAGUAUUAUUAUUUUUUUUUUUAGAAGAACGUGAAUAUUAUACAUUAUAAAGAGAUCAAAUCAUGUUCAAAAUUUUUAUAUACUACAAAGAGGAAAAAGUAUGGCAGGAAUUUUCAAGUUUGUUUAUGCUAUGUUUUUAUUCAUUUCCUUAUUUUCUGUUGCAACAAAAGUUGGUGCAAGUGCUCUUAAUGAAUGUGAAACCGAUGAAGAUUGUCCACUAAGAGGCUGUGUUUAUUUUGUUUGCAAGUGUAUUGAUCACGAAUGUGUAACUACUGAUAGGUUUCCACCCAAGAGCCUUGCAAAGAAUAAUGAGUUCUUGCACUAGCAAAAGAACUAUACAACAUAUCUUAUAUUAAAAUAUUUUAUGAGUUGUUAUUUAGUUAUUGUGGUGACACCCAAUUGGCUUUAAUGCAGUUUUGAUCCCCCUAUUUUGAAAAACCUGAACUUUUAAUCCCCCUAUUUUAAAACUCAGCACUUUUGAUCCCCUAUUUUAGUUUUUUGUUAGUUUUAGUCCCCCACCUCAAUUUGGUCAAACUUUUGCUUAUGUGUCAUGCUCACUGAUGACGUGACAUUGUACAUGUGGACAAACAAUUUCCUUAGAUAGUGUCCCGAGCCCCAAUCUUUUGCUUCUUUGAUUGCAGUGAUGUAAACACGAUCAUCUUUAAGGAAUCCCAUUGCAAAACAUGCAUCUCUAUAGGUCAAAUAUUGUGUGUCACCAAUUUUUCUUACAUCAUCAUAGCAAGUUGUCCACAUUUACAAUGUCACGUCAUCAGUGAGCAUGACACAUUAGCAAAAGUUUGACCAAAUUGAGGUGGGGGACUAAAACUAACAAAAAACUAAAAUAGGGGGAUCAAAAGUGCUGAGUUUUAAUAUAGGGGAUCAAAAAUUCAGGUUUUUCAAAAUAGGGGGAUCAAAACUACAUUAAAGCCUUGUUUUUUUUUUAUUCUAAUAUUGUCGACCACGUAGUUAUGUUAUGGUUAUAUACUCUAAGAUAAUGAUAAUGAAAUAGUGCAACAAAAGUUAUUAUUUAGAUUGUAUCCUACUCUCUUGAUUUUGAAGGUAUAUCACCAAGCCCACCAAUUGAAAUA